GCGAGUAUAAAUUAAUGGUAAAUUGGUUGCCUUCCAAGCAAUUUAUAUGAGUUCAAGUCUCAUUACUCGCU
rnacentral:tRNA from 1 species